rnacentral:tRNA from 1 species
GAGGGUAUAGCUCAGUGGUAGAGUGCAUGCUUAGCAUGCACAAGGUCCUGGGUUCAGUCCCCAGUACCUCCA